GAAGAAAACAAGACCAAGAGAGCGAGANNNNNNNNNNNNNNNNNNNNNNNNNNNNNNNNNNNNNNNNNNNNNNNNNNNNNNNNNNNNNNNNNNNNNNNNNNNNNNNNNNNNNNNNNNNNNNNNNNNAAACUCGUAGAUGAGAAACAACAGAAGAAAACAAGACCAAGAGAGCGAGACCCAAAGACACGUUCACAAGAGAGUGAAGCCAUGGAUGCCACACUGUGUUCACUGCAAACUGGGGCUGCCUCUUUGACAAUCAGAUGUACUAUGUCCCAGCAGCUCUCCCCAGUAAAGCUGUCACUAGACGCUGUGCCAAAAGGUCAUGAGAGCAAGCUGGGGAUCCCAACCCAACUGCCGAGACCAGCGGAAGAAGUGUGCAGGCAAUAAGGAAUUAUUGUUUAUCUCCUGGAUUCCAGAAAAAAGAACUCAACAAAGCAACAUAAUUAAAAUGAAUUUUGUAACCAAUAAUAAAGUUUUUUCUUAGUAAUUUAUGAAAGGCGUAGUGUUCCUAAACAAUCAUAACUGUAUUACAUAUUUUAUACUUUUUUUGGAAUGAAUCUUGAGAGUAUUCAUUCUCUUCCUACAUGCAGAUUGCAAGUGUGGAUUACUAAGGAAGUUUAUUUUAUAUCCAACUAGUACCACAUUUGGCAUGGUUUGGUUUUACUAGCUGUUUGGUACUUUCAUAUCUCCUCCAAGUAGAAAACUGACUACAUUUUAGAAAUGAGGUGUUAAAAGGAGACAUUACAUAGCUUCUUCUUCAUGAGGAAUUUUUCUGAUCUAAAUCUGCUUCCCUUUAUUCUUCUGUCCUUGGGCUAUACCCAAGCUGUCNNNNNNNNNNNNNNNNNNNNNNNNNNNNNNNNNNNNNNNNNNNNNNNNNNNNNNNNNNNNNNNNNUUAGUGUUUGCUACCGAAUGCCUACAAGUUGCAAGAUCAUUGCUUUCAUAAAAUUUUUUUUCCCCUUUUCACUAAGUCAACAAUUUAAAGUCCUUCCUUCCCAAGGUCUCCCCUCCCCCAAUACAUUUCUGUUCCCUUAUUAUCUUUCCAUAUAUGUUCUAAUUUGAGAAAAACCUUUUUUCUAUCAAGAUAUAAUAAGCAUCUUAAAAGACCCAAAGUUCAGGAGAGGGAAGGUUGUGUAGGGUAGGAGCUUCCUUGCCCAUGUAUUUCAUUACCACUGGGGUAGCUGUGGGGUAGACUUGAUUUCUAUGUGAGUGCAAAACUAUACAGGUACAAUCAUUGCUCCAGAAAAGCAAAUGGGAUUGAAGGCAAAUUCUACCACUGUUCUUUGCAGCUACAAUUUCUCACAAAAGAGUGUUCACCAGUUAAGACUCAUGGUGGCAAAAUCUAAGAAUAUUUUUCUAUCCCCACAUCCAGGGGCAAAAUCGGAAGGGAACUGAGAUGGUUUCCAAACACUCACCCUGAACAGAGUCCACCAUGAUUCCGUUGUGAUUCAGGUUAGAGAAAAAAAGGAGUAAGUGGUAAGAGAAGUAAGGGGCUAAAAUGAAAGAAUGAAGACAGAAAGAAAAAAGUAUUAAGCCCUUAUGAUCAUGAAUAUCUGAGACCCAGUACAAUAUUUAAGAUAAUACUUGAGGAACCUUGUGAACCUGGGCAUACAUACAAUAUUAAAUACAAAUAAAUAUUAAUUUAGUUUAUUUGAGUUGAGUGGAUCCUAAGAAGAAAUACAGAAGGAUGCUCAAUUACAAGUUUAUGUCUUUCAAGUUAGUAAUUCAGAGAUAGCGUGGAGAAAGUGCUUCUGAAUCGAAACAGAGAAAAAAAUUUCAUCUGGAAUUUUUCAUUCUCACCUGAUUUUUUAAUAUGUAAAUAUCACUGCAUAAGCAUCCAACCAUAAUGUACUUAAGCCAAUAUCUUUCAUAUCAGUUGCAAAAACAACAUGCCUCUAAAAAUAUCAAUGGCUUAUAAAAGUAGAGACUUUGGGAGGGAAAGUAUGUUGGGAAGAAAAACUCUGUCCCCUUCUGAAUUCUGAGUCUUGAGUCAGUUAUAACCAGCUCUUUAUAAUCAAAACCUCAGCAGCUAUCAGCCCAGAGAAACAAAUUCUGCUUAUCCCGUCGCUGAAGAGCAGCAACUUAUCUUGUCGAGGAUCGGUGACUCUUCUAUUGCUCUGAUACUCAUGAUGACAGUAUAAGGAGUGUUGCAAAUGAACUCCAGUUAGAACAUGAUAGCUCUGCUGGUGGUUUCUCUCUUUUUUCUUUCCUCUCUAGUGUAAAUACCACCCAGGGUUGAAGGCUGGAGAUUUGCUAGUCUGGCUAUUUAACAAAGAUCUUUUUGGAGAAAAUUCUAUAAACUUUUUUUCCAUAGGGAUCCCCAAGUUCAAAUUAUACUAUAAGAUCAUUGGAAUAAGAUGGGAGGGGUGCUUUAGAAUAGUUUAUAGUCUCUAAAAGUAAUGAGUAGGAAAAAUGACCACUGCUGUAGGGUUAUAUAGUACCUAGACAAGUUUGUAAAAUGUACAAAAAUGCUUGAAAUGCUUUCCCCUUAAGGUUGUUUUUCUUCAUCUGUUAGUGCUCAAAUAUAUUUCUUGUCUCAAAGUCUGCUCUCAAAAAAAGUAUUUAUCUAGACUGAAAGUGGAAAGAUCUUAAAAUAUGGAGCCACUAAAGUCCAGGUUUGGGGCAAAUAUUGACUCUGCUACUUAAAAACCGAGCCAGCUUGGAAAAGUUGCUUAACUUUGCAUGUCAUUUUGCUCCUUCCUUGGGUUGGGGGGAGGGGAGAGAAGUGAUGAAGAUAAAAAUAGCUAACUCAUUUUAUAAUGUAUCAAUAUUCUCUACACUCAAGAAAUAUUGAGUCUUACUGUGUGCUAUGCACUUGGGAUUCACUGGAAAAAAGACACAGUACUGGCCCUCAAGAAGCAUAUUGUCUUGCUCCUCAACAACCAAGGUCUGAGAUGAUAUCUGGACUUGAAAAAUAAUGACAUCAGGCUCAAUGGCAUACCGCUCUUGCCAUUAAGCCAUUAAGAAACAGAAGUGGAAAGCCAAGGUCAUGCUGGAAAAGAAACACAGCAAUGGUGUGGAUAUGAUGAAAAGGCUGGAGGGCUGGUGGUGAAAAAUGAAAUCUUGAAGACAGUUUGGACUAGAAUUUUGAUUGCUGUGAUGGGACAUCAUGGAUGAAUUGACCUGGUGACCCCCUAGAUCAUUUUUUUCCUGAUGAAAAAUUAGGAGAUGGUUGCCUAUUCUGUGGACCAUUCUGAGUCUAGAAUGGCUCAGUUAGUUCUGGGAAAUUGUGGAGGGCAUGACAUCCAAACAGCUACCUUGGAGAUAUUAAGGGUCACAUGUUAUACAUAGAUUAGUCACUGAAUUGUAAGCACCACAGUAAGGAGAAUUCCAGCUCA
rnacentral:lncRNA from 1 species